GGAAUGCAGAAAUUAGUUCGUGAGUAUAAGACAAAAGUUAGCUGCUGGGACAAAUCGUUCAGCCAAGGUAUUGGUGUGACUGCCCCAAAGGCCAGGAAGCGUGACAAAUUCAAAGCAAGGGCUUUAUUUCUCUAAUUUCGGUUGAAGAAGACUACACAAAAUGACUAGGAUACUGGUUCAGCGCGGUUCUGCUGGAGCUUCAUCGUCUUCAUCCUCAAAUCAAAACAGGUCAUCAACUUCAAUCCCUGGUUCGUCUUCUUCUUCAGCUCCAACCCAGCCACAGGCGUCUAGUAGUAGUCAGGUAUUAUCAGCUUUGAAAGAUGAUGAUUUCGUGGAAGAAAUACAAGAACAGGUUGCUUUAGAAGAGUCGUCCGUUGCUUCUUCAAACUAUAAGGGUGACGGUGAAUUGUUGGAAAGUUUGGGCAGCGAAGAAAGCAACAAUGAAGAAAAGAUUGUUGACAACGAGAAGAGAAAUAGUGGUUUUGACAGUGAGGAUUUGACAAGGAAAUGUGAUGGUUUAGGAGUCGUGGAAGAGGAAAAUGAGGAAAGUUCCGUUCAGAGGCUUGCACGUAGUUCAUGUCCACCUCCACCUCCUGUCCCGCCCCCGAAACCUGCUUCAUUAAACUCAAGUCCUAGAAGAUCUCUGACGGGCAGUUCACAUGCUAUCCGGAUAGGAUCAUCUAGGGGAACUGCUGGGCGAUCUACUGUCUCAACCAGGACUUCACCUGCUG
rnacentral:misc_RNA from 1 species